rfam:Picea glauca, whole genome shotgun sequence.
ACAUGCCUACAGCAUAGCGUUAAUGCAUCGGAUCCCAUUAGAACUCUGCAGUUAAGCAUGCUCAUGCUAGAAUAGUAUUGGGACGGGUGAUCACCCGAGAAGUCCUAGUGUUUUACAUGCC